rnacentral:rRNA from 1 species
AUGAACGCUGGCGGCGUGCCUAAUACAUGCAAGUCGAGCGAACAGAUGAGGAGCUUGCUCCUCUGACGUUAGCGGCGGACGGGUGAGUAACACGUGGAUAACCUACCUAUAAGACUGGGAUAACUUCGGGAAACCGGAGCUAAUACCGGAUAAUAUAUUGAACCGCAUGGUUCAAUAGUGAAAGACGGUUUUGCUGUCACUUAUAGAUGGAUCCGCGCCGCAUUAGCUAGUUGGUAAGGUAACGGCUUACCAAGGCAACGAUGCGUAGCCCACCUGAGAGGGUGGUCGGCCACACUGGAACUGAGACACGGUCCAGACUCCUACGGGAGGCAGCAGUAGGGAAUCUUCCGCAAUGGGCGAAAGCCUGACGGAGCAACGCCGCGUGAGUGAUGAAGGUCUUCGGAUCGUAAAACUCUGUUAUUAGGGAAGAACAAAUGUGUAAGUAACUAUGCACGUCUUGACGGUACCUAAUCAGAAAGCCACGGCUAACUACGUG